rnacentral:rRNA from 1 species
GACGAACGCUGGCGGCGUGCUUAACACAUGCCAGUCGAACGGAAAGGCCCUGCUUUUGUGGGGUGCUCGAGUGGCGAACGGGUGAGUAACACGUGAGUAACCUGCCCUUGACUUUGGGAUAACUUCAGGAAACUGGGGCUAUUACCGGAUAGGAGCUCCUGCUGCAUGGUGGGGGUUGGAAAGUUUCGGCGGUUGGGGAUGGACUCGCGGCUUAUCAGCUUGUUGGUGGGGUAGUGGCUUACCAAGGCUUUGACGGGUAGCCGGCCUGAGAGGGUGACCGGCCACAUUGGGACUGAGAUACGGCCCAGACUCCUACGGGAGGCAGCAGUGGGGAAUAUUGCACAAUGGGCGGAAGCCUGAUGCAGCAACGCCGCGUGCGGGAUGACGGCCUUCGGGUUGUAAACCGCUUUCGCCUGUGACGAAGCGUGAGUGACGGUAAUGGGUAAAGAAGCACCGGCUAACUACGUG